CCUACGGGGUGCAGCAGUGGGGAAUAUUGCACAAUGGGCGCAAGCCUGAUGCAGCCAUGCCGCGUGUGUGAAGAAGGCCUUCGGGUUGUAAAGCACUUUCAGCGGGGAGGAAGGCGUUAAGGUUAAUAACCUUGGCGAUUGACGUUACCCGCAGAAGAAGCACCGGCUAACUCCGUGCCAGCAGCCGCGGUAAUACGGGGGGUGCAAGCGUUAAUCGGAAUUACUGGGCGUAAAGCGCACGCAGGCGGUCUGUCAAGUCGGAUGUGAAAUCCCCGGGCUCAACCUGGGAACUGCAUUCGAAACUGGCAGGCUAGAGUCUUGUAGAGGGGGGUAGAAUUCCAGGUGUAGCGGUGAAAUGCGUAGAGAUCUGGAGGAAUACCGGUGGCGAAGGCGGCCCCCUGGACAAAGACUGACGCUCAGGUGCGAAAGCGUGGGGAGCAAACAGGAUUAGAUACCCCUGUAGUC
rnacentral:rRNA from 1 species